ensembl:lncRNA
CAUGGCCAAGCAACAAACACACGCACAAGGGAUGUGAUAGGAGAAGGGCAUCCCCCCAAGAGUCCCCAGGCAUGGUGCUACCGGAACCUGCUGCCUUGGCAUGGAAAGGUGUCAGGAAGUGACAGGCAGAGCCCACCAUGGGCAUCUUAGUAUCAGCUUCUCAGAUGUGCCCCCAGGACCCCUGAGGUAUCACAGCUGGCCAAAUGCCAUGGUCCAGUCUGGACAGCAUCACCACAGCAUGAAGUCAGAGCCCUUUCCUUUCCACUCUGGCUGCAACAACAAAGGAACUCACCUAAAAGCAGCUGAGCAAACACACGCAGCAUCUGUGAGCAUCUCGACCCACUGCUCAGCCAGCGCGCAGUGAGACGCCUGGAACACGGCAACACAGCAUUUGGAUCAAGCUCAAUGCCGGGUCAAGCUCAAUGCCGUCAUCAAUUUCAUACUGAGAGCGUCGGCUGCAGAAGAGUCAACCAUCUGGGUGGCUCUUACCUCUGUGACAAAUCACUGUCCAACAGACACUCCCCAGGUGCUGCUGGGGAAGGACUCGCCAGAGUCAGAACUGCCCCCUGGGCUGCCUGCAAAGCAGAGGCAGGGUGCAGAAUCUUAGUUUCUUGACCAGAGAGCGAACCUGUGGCUGCUGCAGGCCACCAGGGAAGUCCCCAUUAAGACAACUGACUCUUUUUUUUUAACCCAACAUGGGAUUCCUCAGCAGACACUCAGCCACGCUCACUCCCCAGGAUUAGUGUUGGACGUUCCCACCAGGCUAUGUGCUCUGGGAAUGGUCUCUGUCCUGCUGUUUCCCUGACCAGGGAUGCCCCUCCGCUGGAAACGCAGGGGAGAGCCCAUCAACAGCAAAAGCAGCACUCGCCGCACCCCCGCCUGCCCCCAUCCCACAUACACCUGCGGGCAGGAGGGUGCACCCUGCACUGACCUUUGCCAUAAUCCGGCUCACCAAAGAGACACACGUUUUAAUUCAGAACGCUCCCCUUCGAACUGUUCCAUCAAGGGACCUAAGGAUAAAACCAGGAAGCUGGGAACUGGCAAGUGUGUCCUGAGAAUCCAUGGCACCCAAGCCCUCCUCAGGCCUGAGAUGAUCAGGAACAAGAGAGACGGUUCCAGGCCAGGGAGCUCACAGUGAGCCUGAAGGAAGAAGACCCAUGCGUGGAGGGAACCCUGGAGGAAGCGGCACACAGGAUUGCCCUGUGCUGUGGGGCCCCAGAGUCCCACAGAACUGAGCAGUGGCCCAUCCAGGCUGGGCAGUCAGGGCCUUCAUAGAGCAGUGUUUUGGGUCAAAAAGUGGCCUUGGAGGAACACGAUUCUCUGGACUCCCUGACCUGGGCAUGGCUGUUGGCCCAGAGGAGCUGUCUGGGCCCCUCCACACUGCCCCUCAGGGAAGAGCAUGAGAAUCACAGGGAAGAUAUCAUUUUGUGCACGCCUGCGGCCUGGCACAUCUUACUCAUGCCACUGAAAACCAAGCCAGUGGUAAGGGACACGAGGGGCAGCGUGCUGCUCACAGGAAGCCACGGACGGAGGUCCCAGGGCAUUUUGCUGGGAGGUAACUGCCCUGAAUGUCUGUGGGGUGGGGGGGGGGGAGGGGGUUCUUCUGCUCUGUUCUGCCUCACAUUGAGCACACCAAGCCCUCUUCCAUCUACAACAGAGCCUGAGCGUCCCUCUCUCUGGGAUGUUCUUCCACGCAUCUGGUUGUAGGCCACCCCCCUUCCUUGAGGGCAUCUUCUCCACCAACCCCAGACCUGGUCUAGCUGCCCUGAUUCACAGGAAUAGGGCCAAAAACUCAACAACUGAGAUAAGUGCAAUAGUUUUAAACAUCUAAAUUAAUGGGGAAAAUCUGCAUGAGCAAAAUCUCAAAUUUUAAAAUAAAGAUGACCCCACCUCUGCGCCUCCCCCUUGCCUCAGCCCUGCGAUAGCACACUGUCCCAGGGCCCGAGGCUUUGUCCUCGUUGUGCACACCACGGCUAUGAUCGAGCGUUCAUGGGGAAGCGUCUCUGAACCCACAGGACAAGGGCAGAGCACCCCACCAACCCUGGUGUCCCCGGCACCCGGCUGAGAGCGUGGCGCGUGUAAAGGGGUACCUGGUCGUCCAGGAGUGGACAUCAGAGGCGGAAAACAGACUACUGUUUGUGACAACUGCGUGUGAGUGGUUCCCUACUUAGGAUGCCACAACUCAACUGGAGGCCCAACUCCCAGCCCUGGGGGACUUGCCCGCUAGACCAGUCGGUGCCAGCAGACAAGCCCCCCGCUUGCCGCAGGAAGGAGCCAGGUUAGCAACUCUGCUGUCAUUUGUGAAAUGACACAUUAAGUGCCGCGCCGACGGGCUGUAAGAGCUGAUGAGACACACAGAACUAUCGGGCAGAUCCUGAGAAAAAUCACCCAUUCAUCUCCUGUGGCUCCUGUGACUGUUUCCCACCUUUCUCACAAGGGCCACCGCCGAACAACGUGGAAGGGUGGGUCCUGCCAGUCCGGGCGCUCGGGUGCCUGGGCUUCCGCUGCUGGGGACCUAGGUUGGAUCUGUUCCAAGGCAGUCGCUCCCUGUCCAGUUCUCCGCAGAGAACAUGUCUAUUUUGAGGAAGUGUAAUUUGAGGCUGGUCGGAAUCACAGUGGAUAGGUUUGCCUGAAACAUGCUAAAAUGCAGGCAACCGCUAAAUAAAAAUCCCCAAAUAACCAGGCUCUAUUUUUGUGCCUUUAUAAGUUCUUUGAAAGGAGAGAGAGAAAGAGGUUAAGAAAUGCAGCAUUUUCCCUCUUUCUUACCUGAUGUGCCGGUCGCAGGAGAAACGCAUCGGGCGAGAGCAGGGGGAGUCCCACGUGGGCCCUCGGCUGGCCCACCCGGCACUCCUGCUCCGCGGGUGGGCGUGGCCCCAGCCCUCCGGAUGCAUCCCCCUUGUCCCUCUGGUUUGGAGGGGUGGCUGUGCUGUUCUACCUCAGAG